rnacentral:ncRNA from 2 species
AAUGUCGUAAAAGCGCCAGGACCAUUCCGUGAACGGGUGAAAAGGAAUGGUUGACGAGGUGGAGGUUUAUCGAGUUUUCGGCGGAUGCCUCCCGGCAGCGGGCCGCUGCCGUAGGGCUGUCCGACAAAACGUCUGGGAAACCUGACGCACAAUAGGACAGCACGGUCUCUU